GCCUUUUGACGAAAUCCACCAGUAUACACCUCGUUUUGUCUGAUCUGCGAAGCUAAGGAGGGUUGAGCCUGGAUAAUGCAUGGAUGGGCGACCAUCUCAAUAGAACAGGCGCUAUCGGCA
rnacentral:rRNA from 1 species